GUUGCACUUAAUGCUGCGCAUUUUGCGCAGCGCUCCGUGGCUAAAUGUUACGCUGUGGGGGGACAGGACCCACUCUUUGCUUUAGGACAGGACCCACUCUAGAAGGACAGGACCCACUCUUUGCUUUAGGACAGGACCCACUCGUAGAAGGACAGGACCCACUCGUAGAAGGACAGGACCUCAUAUCCAGAAUGUAAACAGUGUCCACUGUCUUUGCUAACAGUUCCGUAACAAAGAAAAGAAUGAAGACGUCAUCCAUAAGAAUCUGAAGUCCUGUUAUGAAGCCUUGAGAUUGGUGAUGUUGUGAUCACUCAGGUUUCUGCUAUUUACCUCAAAAGAACACAUUUUUACAAAAUCCACGUGAUAUUCUAUUGAAGAGCCCAAAACUACCAUGAAACAAUGAACUCUUCAGGAAAACGUUUGCUGACGUUGAAAUCAUUUUCUCAUAGACUUCCUUUCAAAUGGACAGAGUCGCCCCCUGCUGGCUAAUCAAGAAUCAAGUCACAAAAUUUUGCAGUGACUCCCGGCUUAAAGGCACACACUAAAAUAACAAAAAUAACGAAGGGCUUAAACACUUAAAUAAGACACAACGAAAUAUAAGUUCAAAUAUGUUAAAAUAAAGUGCAACUUGGUGCAAGUCCAGGUUAAUGGAGAGUGUGUGUGUGUGUGUGUGUGUGUGUGUGUGUGUGUCUGAUUGGAGAGACAGGAUGCGAGUUGUUUUCACUGCAGGGGGGGAGAUUGCUUUCACAGCUCUGGGGAAGAAGCUGUCGCUGAGUCUUUCCUGAUGCAAGCGGUCCAAACGAGAAUGAUGCAGCAGCUGUUUCGAGCUGACUUCCAAUAAUUCAGCAUAUUUGCUCUUGGGAUGCUGACCUGCCAUCGAGCGUUUGCCGAGGGGGAGUGAGCGAUCAAUCGAUGGAGCGGCUCAACAUACAAAAACCUCCCUCCCACAUCUGAGGCAAAUCCAUAUCUCAUAUUUCCUCCAUUUUCAUGCAGAUGCAGUGGAGAUGUGAGAGAGUGAGAUGUCUGCAGUCUCCUAUCCCCCCGACAGUUUGAUGUGAUUGCUUUGUCAGUGUUGGUGGUGGGAGUGUGGAGAAGGCAGGGGAACAGUCACUGGGCACAGACGUGGCACACAUACUUCAGUCAGUGUUGGUGGUGGGAGUGUGGAGAAAGCAGGGGAACAGUCACUGGGCACAGACGUGGCACACAUACUUCAGUAGUUCUUGACUACGUAUUUAAGUGUCAACCCACCAGUGAAAAUAUCACUAUUCAGUGUUAGUGUGAGGUGAUGUUCCACCUUUAAUGUCUAUCAUGUCAAAAUAUCCAGAAUGUGCUUGAGGUCAAGUCCUCAUCAAAGUCAAUGUCAUUUCCUGCAACUCGCUGAGGGGGAAAGUGACGACGUGCACCCCCAUGUUGCUGUGGCAGCCAACAGCCCCUCUCUGCAUAUCAGCCUGUUGCCAUAGUAGCCCUGUGGAGCUUAACUGCCUGUAAGUCUAGCAGAGAAGACAAGUGAACCAGCGGUGCCCCCCAUCCAGAGAUGCCUGCAUGUCUUCAUCUGUUGCCAUGGCACCGUAAUAGCGUUCUGGAUAGAUUUGGCAUGGCAGGGAGUCACUUCCUUUAUCUUCCAACACAUUAUAUUGAGCCGAGUGUUCAGCGCUCGCAACAUGGUGAGGAGACAAAAGGAGCCGAAGGGGGAGAAGGAAGAUGUCGAGAUGCUGCAUCUAUAUUGAGAUCUGGAGCGGUGCUACACUUAGAUGUGAGCUGUGCUCAUCAGACAAUUCAAAUACAUGCAGGCGUCAAGGAAGUCAAGCAAGUGUCAUAUGUCAUCAUGGAAUAAUCUAUGUGAAAACAAUGUGCUGGUGAAAAAGAGGACACUCACAGAAACCUUCACUGACGUGAAUCAUUCUCACCCUCAACUGUAAGAAACAGAGGAGUCAGACUCACAGUCACAGACUUGUUUAAAAGUCAGUUAUUUAUAUAUAAACAUAAAUAAAGAGUUUGAAUAUUGGACAUGUGUCGGACAUGAAACAUGGAAAAACAGUGAAAUGGGCCUUUAUUGCAUUUUCACAAAUAGAAUAAAGGUUUCACAAAUCA